ensembl:lncRNA
AUGUCCGCCUCCGGAGGUGGAGGCCAGGCCCCGGGUGGCCAGGAGAGCCCCAUGGAUGAGGCGGGGGCCCCGGCGGCCGGAGGGGGCAACGAGGUGGCCGGCGGCGAGGCGGGGGCCGGCAGUGAUGGAGUAGCCAGGGGCGAUGGGGUGGCCGCUGGACAUGGAGCGGCUGAUGGCGAUGGGAUGGCCGGAGACGAAGCGGUCGGUGGCGACGGGGUGGCCGGAGACAGAGAACGGGUGGCUGGCGACGGAGAGGCAGUGGCCGGAGACGGAGACUGGGAGGCCGGAGACGAGGACAGAGUGGCCGGCAGAGAUCGGGUGGGCGGAGGAGGAGUGGCCGGCGGAGGAGGAGUGGCCGGCGGAGGAUGGGUGGCCGGCGGAGACGGAGACGGAGGGGCCGGAGGCGGAGACGAGGACAGAGUGGCCGGCGGGGAUCGGGUGGGCGGAGGAGGAGUGGCCGGCGGAGGAGGAGUGGCCGGCGGAGGAUGGGUGGCCGGAGAUGGAGACUGGGAGGCCGGAGACGAGGACAGAGUGGCCGGCGGAGACGAGGACAGAGUGGCCGGCGGGGAUUGGGCGGGUGGGGGUGGAGUGGCCGGCAGAGACUGGGCGGCCGGAGGUGGAGACGGAGCGGCCGGCGGAAACUGGGGGGCCGGAGAUGGAGAGGCCGGCGGAGACGGGGUGGCCGGGAACGAAGUGGCCGGCGGAGACGGGGUGGUCGGAGCAGGAGUGGCCGGCGGAGACGAGGUGGCCAGAGGUGGAGACGGAGGGGCCGGAGGCGGAGGUGGAGGCGGAGACGGAGACGGAGGGGCCGGAGGCGGAGACGUGGUGGCCAUGGGCAACAGAGUGGCCGGAGGCGGAGUGGCCGGAGGCGGAGACGUGAUGGCCAUGGGCGACAGAGAGGCCGGCGGCGGAGACGCAGCGGCCGAUGGCGGAGACCGAGUGGCUGGAAUCGGAGUGGCCGGUGGUGGAGACGGAGCGGCCGAUGGCGGAGACCGAGUGGCUGGAAUCGGAGUGGCCGGUGGUGGAGACGGAGCAGCCGAUGGCGGAGACCGAGCAGCCGGUGGCGGAGACGGAGCGGCCGAUGGCGGAGACGGAGUGGCCCGUGGUGGAGACAUGAUGGCCAUGGGCAACAGAGUGGCCGGCGGUGGAGACGGAGCGGCCGAUGGCGAUGGCGGAGACGGAGCGGCCGGUGGCGGAGACGGAGCGGCCGGGGACUCCGGGCCCCACCCUGCCGAGGCUGCCGUUUUGGCCGCGCCUCCGGAAGGCCUCGAGGAGGAGGCGGUGGGCCCCGAGGGCGGGAACGCCUUCGAGGCUGGCGAGGACUCGGACAUCGGGCCGGCAGACGAGGACGAGGCGGAAGAGCCCGAGGCCGCCGGGGACGUAAUUGUGGACGCCCACCAUUUCCCAAUGGUGGGCUUCCGCUUUACAUUCCUGGACCUGGUGUAUUCACUGCUACACCUGGUCCACUACAACAACCACAUCCUCGUGCGGCCCCGGCCUCUGCAGCUCAACGUUCCCCCUGCGCCCCCAGCGGCGACCGCGGCCCACGAGGCCCAGGGCUCGUCGUCAUCGUCGUCAUCGUCGUCGUCGUCGUCGUCGUCGGAGGCUACCUGGGAGACCGCGGAGGAGCCUGACAAGGAGGAGCCGGCGGCCACAGAGGGAACAACAAACCAUCAGCAGGAAAACUCUGAUCAGGAGGGGCAAGUCUCGGAGAGCGGGGAAGAAGAGACGUUUAACAAACAACAAGAAGGAUCUCACUGAAAAGCAUUUGGACCCACCACAGAACAGGCCCCAAAAAUCCAGCUGGGAGGAACAAAACGAGAUGAAGAAGAAAGAACCUGUUCAUUGUUUCUGGUUUCUCAUUUUCUAG